rnacentral:lncRNA from 1 species
ACCAUAUUUGCAUCUUGGUAUUUCAGUUAGUUUUUUUUGCCACAUCACUGAGGAAUCUCUAUACUGGUUGUGCCUUUGUUCUUCCUCUCAAUGGCUGCACCUGUUGCUUCUGCUUCUCGGUUUCUUCUCAAUUUCGCCAAGAUUCUAGGUCGUCCUUCUCCGCUUCACAGUGUGCACCUGACUUACCUGUCAUUAUAUCCAAUUGUUGUUAAGUUUAGGUGGCUAUAUAACUUUUAGUUACUCUCAAUCUUUACCAUUUGGAACUAGCUUCUCAAAAAAAAAUUGUUUUAACCAGAGCUACUGGGUAUCACCCUCUCCUUCAAUAAUAGGGAGAAACUGGACAUGUUGUUCAUGGUGAAGUUUUUAUUCAAUGGUAAUUUUGCAGUAUUGUAGAUUGGAUUUCAGUUUUUUUUCCUUCCUAUGCUCAGAAGAAGAUAACAAUAUUUAAUCUGCCCUUUUUCAUCAGUUACUUUUAUAAUGUAGAAUCCCCCAGGCAAAUGUACAUUUAUACAGUAAUUAUUAGGUGAUUUCGCCUUUUCUUUUUAGGAAGAAAUAGAUACGUCAUUUUCCUUCAAUUCUUGGACAUUGGACCGUUUUGAUGAGAAUGGGAUUAGAUGGUUGUUGAUUCUAAAAGAUUGAUGAUGGGUGCUUGAAGGUCUUCAAAAUCCUAAGGUGAAGUCUUGCGUUGAGUAUUUUGAGGUCCUAAUCGUUGAAGGUUGCACCUUAUAGUGAUAAUAAUUUUUUUCACUUCUUUCAAUUUCUUUUUAGUGAUUAUCGUUUUUUUCUUCUUUCAAUUUUUUUAGUGGUAAUCAUGUUUUAUUUUCUUCUUUCAAUUUUUUUUUGGAUGGCAAAAUCAAGUUUCUAGUCAUUUAAUUUAAUUGGAAAAAUAUGAGCAAUGUCUUUGAAUUUCUAUUUGGAUGAGUUCAGUUGUGUGCCUGCAUAGGUGUGUGCUUGUGUUUAUCCUCCUACUCCACAGGUUCAAAAGAUAUUGUAGGAGUGUUCUGCAUUCUGCAUAAUGUGGUACCAGUCGAUAACAAUGGUCCUUGUAAUGUUCCAUCAUCUUAACUCUGCUUCAUGGUAUGCAUUCAACUUUUACAGUAAUAUCUUGGUUGUGAAUAUGAAGGUUAAUGUGUCAGCCUUGUAUUGGCCGUGACAAAGGUAAGGCAACAUGACCUCCUUUGGCCUUCUGAGUUUCAUAGAGUACUUGUUUUAUUAUUCUACUGCAUGAGAUUGCACUCCUGAUUGAAAUUCUGUUUCUUCUUAUGCAUAUAUGAUGAAACCUGAGUAGGGGGAAUAUGGAAGGCAGACCUGGAUAUCUGCUCUUUGUGAUGUUUUAGAGCCCUCUAAGCUAAUAUAAACUGAGCUUGGUGUGCAACUCAGUGAUGAAAAUUGUUUAAACACGUAUGCUAUGCAUGGGUUACUUUUGUUUGUAGUGUUAUGAUUGACUGGAUACUUAUUUUUCUCUGUAGUGUUACGGUUGGCUGGAUACAUUUAUCUUGAUGAAUUCAUAGUGAUGCUAAACAUAGGGUUCCAUGCCUAUGAUUUAGUGUUUAGAACUAGAAUGGCUUUAUGCUUUUCUAUUGAUAAUGAAAUUGUUUAAUUGCAAUAUAAGGAAGUAUGCCAUGUGUGAGAAUUAAUCUUUAAGAUUUGCUGUUAUAAGUUGCCUUUGCAAUUUCUUGUAAUGGGAGAUUGAUAAAUUGGCUUGGUAAUUUAAACUCUCAAUUUAACAAGAUACAUCACAUGCUUCUUUGGUAGGAAGGGACAAAAUGGACAAAGGAAUGAGGAAGUGAAGUUGUAGGAUAAAGGUCCAUAAUCUCCUUUUUUUUUGCUUUAUUCAUAUGGUUCUUGGUAUCCAUUGUUAGGUUGGAACUUGGACCUGGUGUAUUAGUAGGUAGAGGACCUGUUUAAUGAAUUAGGUUUAGUUAUUGGUCCAGUGGGGAUGCUAUCUCUGUAUCAACUUUUAAAUUGGCGAAUGUGGUGUGGUUUACUUGACAUUGCUUAGAGGACAUCAAAAGAGUCCUUUUUUUUAAUUUUUAUUUUAGGGAUAAUUUCAGAAACUCCCUAACGCCUCCCCUGAAGUUUUCAAAAUAGUAGACACCUCUCCUGAUUAUUUUGAAAACCUUAGAGGAGGUCAGUGAGAAUGUUGGAAACCUUAGAGUUGGUUUCUGAACUUAUCCCUAAGUUUUAUAUGUAUAUUUUUUCUUGGGACCAAUUUAUUGAUUUCCUUUGUUUUACAUGGCACCUAGAUCAAUGUUAUUCAGCUUCCAUGUUGGUGACAAGUAGAAACUGUGCAAGAGGUAAUGUAUAAUCAUGUGAGUAGAAUUAGAAAUGUCUUUGAGUUGUAUGGCAAAAGCUGAUGGCAUUAUCAAUUGUAAGAACAUGUUCAAUUGAUUACUUGUCCAUGGUGCUGUUUUUAACAGUUUUUUUCUAGUUAUCCAACCACAAAAAAAAAAGAAAAGAAAAAUCAAAAUCAGUGUGUUUGGAUUGUAAAUUAUUUGAGAUAUUUUUAUUGUAGUACUUUUUGUGAUGUGAUAAUAUGUAAAAUAAAAAGAUAAUUGGGAAGAUAAAAAGUUGUAUUGAAAAUUAUAAUGGUGAUG